rnacentral:rRNA from 1 species
UACGUAGGGUGCAAGCGUUGUUCGGAUUUACUGGGCGUAAAGCGCACGUAGGCGGACUAUUAAGUCAGGGGUGAAAUCCCGGGGCUCAACCCCGGAACUGCCUUUGAUACUGGUAGUCUUGAGUUCGAGAGAGGUGAGUGGAAUUCCGAGUGUAGAGGUGAAAUUCGUAGAUAUUCGGAGGAACACCAGUGGCGAAGGCGGCUCACUGGCUCGAUACUGACGCUGAGGUGCGAAAGCGUGGGGAGCAAACAGG